GCAACAACAACAGCAACAGCAAAAGCAACAACAACAGCAACAACAACAACAGCAAGAACUACACCCUGUGUUGACGUACAAACUUAUUGUUACUUGUACACAGCAACAUAUUGUAACAGUCUCUGGGGUUUACAACACUGUCGGAAAUCUUGUAAUCUAUGUGAUGUUGAUUUGAACACUCAUUGUAUCGACCAGACGACAUGUAACCAUGAAGCAUUAAGGUCAUGCCAUACAGACUGGGGACUGUCAAAUUGUAUACGCUCGUGUAAUCGUUGUUAAGACCAAUACAUGUCGAGCUGUGUGUCUAAUGUCUAGACUUGAAUUAUUUCUGUUAAACAAAUAAUUCUGAAAUAUACUUUGUACGAAAGUGUAA